AAGAUCGUGGAACGCUUCACGAAUUUGCAUGUCAUCUUUGCGCGGGGCCAUGCUAAUCUUCUCUCUAUUGUUUCAAUUUUAGUAUAGUAUAUUUUAGUAUA
rnacentral:snRNA from 1 species